AAAAGAACCAGUAUCAAUGACAUUCUGAGAGAUGAGAUAUUGCUAGAAAUCCUGCAUCGGAUUCCUUGCAAAUCCGCCGUGCAGCGUAAUAUGCAAGCGUUGGUGCUCUCUAAUUCCAAUCCCUUAUUUCCUUUGUUGCUUCCAUGGCCACAAACAACAUGAUCUCCACCCAAGCGAGAUUAUUCUCAAACUCUAUAAGCGGCAGAUGUUCUUGAUUCCCCCUCAAUAUCCUGGUUUCGAAAUUCUCUCUCAGUUUCCUCCCUAAAGAUCACAUGGUUGUGGGUUAGUGCAACGGCUUACUCUUGUGCACCACAGGUAUACUUGAUCAGGUCAUAUACUACAUCUGCAAUCCUAUCACCAAGCAGUGGUCUACACUCCCUCCAGACCCUCGCCGCUAUUAUUUGUUACCGGUUGGCUUUGUAUGCAAUCCUUACUACCAAAUAGAUAAUAAGGGAUGUGCCCACUAUUGAUUCCAACCUCAAGUACAAGGGGGUUCGUAUUCCUGUCCGCAUGGCUGCCAAGUGUGAAUUUGGGGUGGAGGUAUUUUCAUCUGAGACUGGACAAUGGACAGAUUCCGUAUUGUCAGCUCAAAAACCCAUUUAUUGGUCCACUCCGCUGACCAAUGCUAUAGUCUACAAUGGAUUGCUGCAUUGGUUGACUAGAUGCAAUGAGAUUCUUGUUUAUGAUAUUUACGGUAACAGGGUUGUUCUACUUGUUGAUAAACCAGAAGGCAUACCAGAUCCAUGGUUACGAUUGCAUUGCCUUGGUCUGUGUCGUGGCUCAUUGCAUAUUUGUGUAGCGUAUCGCAUGAAUUUGAUGAUUUGGCAACUCCAGGACUGUAACAAGUGGAGUUUGAAAUGUCAGGUUAAUCUUACUUUGCAUCACAGCAUUCUCCAUGGCCGUCAAUGGCUAAAUCCAUCUUACUGGUUCUCUGGACGCGUUUUUGCUAUCCAUCCUUAUGAUCCCAACAUCUUGUAUAUUGGUUUGUCUAUGUCAACACACAGGGUUCUUUCUUGCAAUUUGGCAACAAAAGCCUUGAAAUUAGUUAUGGUGUUUUCGUUUCCUUCUAACUAUGGUUACAUCUAUCGAUCAGAAGAUGUAUUUACUCUCAUGCUUCCAUGGUGGCCAACUCCUAUACCUUCAAUUUCACAUAUCAACUCCAAAAAUUGAGCUUUUGGAUGCUUUCACUUCUUUAUUUUGGAAGGAUAUAUCUGCUACAGCGAAACAAUCAACAAUUAAUUUCUCAAGUUUGGUGAGGAAUGGAACUUGGUUUCGUAUAAUAGCUGUAUGUUGAUGGGAUUUUAUUUUGGCAAUUGAUCAUGUUGGAUUUGACUUGUUCAGAGUGUAUGA
rnacentral:misc_RNA from 1 species